CACGUGAUAUCCUGUCUGAAGAUGGGGGGACCAUCCUCCAAGGCUAAAUACUCCUGACUGACCGAUAGUGAACCAGUACCGUGAGGGAAAGGCGAAAAGAACCCCGGCGAGGGGAGUGAAACAGAACCUGAAACCGUGUACGUACAAGCAGUGGGAGCCUUCGUAAGAGGGUGACUGCGUACCUUUUGUAUAAUGGGUCAGCGACUUAUAUUUAGUAGCAAGGUUAACCGAAUAGGGGAGCCGUAGCGAAAGCGAGUGUUAACUGCGCGUUUAGUUGCUAGGUAUAGACCCGAAACCCGGUGAUCUAGCCAUGAGCAGGUUGAAGGUUGAGUAACAUCAACUGGAGGACCGAACCCACUAACUUUGAAAAGUUAGGGGAUGACCUGUGGCUGGGGGUGAAAGGCCAAUCAAACCGGGAGAUAGCUGGUUCUCCCCGAAAUCUAUUUAGGUAGAGCCUCGCACGAACACCAUUGGGGGUAGAGCACUGUUAAGGCUAGGGGGUCAUCCCGACUUACCAACCCUUUGCAAACUCCGAAUACC
rnacentral:rRNA from 1 species